rnacentral:rRNA from 1 species
CCUACGGGUGGCAGCAGUAGGGAAUCUUUCACAAUGGGCGAAAGCCUGAUGGAGCAACGCCGCGUGCAGGAUGAAGGCCUUCCGGUUGUAAACUGCUUUUAUAAGCGAGAAAUAUGAUGGUAACUUAUGAAUAAGGAACGGCUAACUACGUGACAGCAGCCGCGGUCAUACGUAGGAUCCGAGCAUUAUCCGGAGUGACAGGGUGUAAAGAGUUGCGUAGGUGGCAUAAUAAGUAGCUAGUGAAAUCUUGUGGCUCAACCAUUCAGACUAUUAUCUAAACUGUUAAGCUCGAGACCGUUAGGGGUAACUGGAAUUUCUAGUGUAGGAGUGAAAUCCGUAGAUAUUAGAAGGAACACCAAUAGCGUAGGCAGGUUACUGGGACGGUUCUGACACUAAGGCACGAAAGCGUGGGUAUCGAACAGGAUUAGAUACCCGUGUAGUC